UACGGGGGGGGCAAGCGUUGUUCGGAAUUACUGGGCGUAAAGGGCGCGUAGGCGGCCUGCUAAGUCGAACGUGAAAUCCCCGAGCUCAACUCGGGAACUGCGUCCGAUACUGGCAGGCUUGAAUCCGGGAGAGGGAUGCGGAAUUCCAGGUGUAGCGGUGAAAUGCGUAGAUAUCUGGAGGAACACCGGUGGCGAAGGCGGCAUCCUGGACCGGCAUUGACGCUGAGGCGCGAAAGCGUGGGGAGCAAACAGG
rnacentral:rRNA from 1 species